CCACAAACAUCAAGGUUUGACAUGUAAAAACUAAAAUAUCUCUGGGUAUAUGAUAUACCUACUCAAUUUCUCUGGAAGAAGACAACGGCCACUAUAUGAAGAUUCGGGCAACACAGACAAAGAGGAAACAGAAAGAAUGCAGGAUCAGAAGGAUAGAGAAGUAACAGAGAUAUGCCAUCUACUAGACAGGACACAGACAUUUUAAUUAUGAACUCGCUGACGCUGUGGCUGUCUACUAUGGGUGUGAACAAUAUUGGACUGUCAACGAAAUAAUCAAAUAUGAGUAAGCCGUCAUUUGAAGAACAGAAACCAGGGAUGAAGACAAGAGAUGACAAAGGAGGUUCCUGCUUUUCCGGCUGCUCUGUCCACGUGGCUUCUUACCUCACAGACCCCUUUGGAAGAAUUACAAACAUAACUCAACUGACUCACUUGCUGCGUAUUAGAAAUCUGAACUCAGGACCUCCUGACUGUACAGCAGAUUUUAUUUUAUUCUCCUACGUGCAUGAGUGAUGGAAGUGGCAUGCAAGUGGAGAUCAGAGGACAACUUUCAGGAGUUGGUUCUCUCUUUCCCACGGGAUCCAGAACUCAACAGUCAGCAGCAGGUUGGACCUUAUGGGUAUCUUCUGUCACCUUAUCUUCAUCUCUUCACGCUCAUUCCCCAUUCUUCUAAUAGGUCCAAGUUUUCUGAUCCCAGGAAGACUUUUUGUUGCUGCUGCUGUUCUCUUUUUUUCAAAAAUGAUUAAUUUUAUGUGUAUUAGUGUGAAGAAAUCUACUAUCAUAGAAGAAGAUGUGGAAGGAAUUCAUCAUCCCAAUUCAGCAAGCAGCAAUUGUAAGAAGACAGUCAUUCAGAUCCGGCACAGUUUUGGGAUUUCUGUUAUUAGUAUUUUGGAUUAUCAUCU
rnacentral:lncRNA from 1 species